AAUUUUGUAUUUUAAAUAGAAUAAUAAAUUGCAAGUUUAUAGGUGGAGUUUUCCCAAAAUUU
rnacentral:tRNA from 1 species